rnacentral:misc_RNA from 1 species
UCCGGUUUGUCACCGGCAGUCUGGCGCGAGUCCCCAACUUAAUGAUGGCAACACGCCACGGGGGUUGCGCUCGUUGCGGGACUUAACCCAACAUCUCACGACACGAGCUGACGACAGCCAUGCACCACCUGUGCACAGGCCCCGAAGGGCUGCCGUGUUUCCACGACAUUCCUGUGCAUGUCAAGCCUUGGUAAGGUUCUUCGCGUCGCGUCGAAUUAAACCGCAUGCUCCACCGCUUGUGCGGGCCCCCGUCAAUUCCUUUGAGUUUCAGUCUUGCGACCGUACUCCCCAGGCGGAGUGCUUAAUGCGUUAGCUUGGAUACUGAUCUUAGAAAAGACCAACAUCUAGUAUUCAUCGCUUAGGGCGUGGACUAC